rnacentral:antisense_RNA from 1 species
UGUAGGAGUGAGCCUGCUCGCGAUGGCGCUGUGUCAGUCUACAAAGAGGCUGACUGUUGCGACGCUAUCGCGAGCAGGCUCACUCCUACA